ACCUGCGGCCGCUAAAUGCAGUCGAGCGGAAGAAGGGAGCUUGCUCCCGGAUGUUAGCGGCGGACGGGUGAGUAACACGUGGGUAACCUGCCUGUAAGACUGGGAUAACUCCGGGAAACCGGAGCUAAUACCGGAUAGUUCCUUGAACCGCAUGGUUCAAGGAUGAAAGACGGUUUCGGCUGUCACUUACAGAUGGACCCGCGGCGCAUUAGCUAGUUGGUGAGGUAACGGCUCACCAAGGCGACGAUGCGUAGCCGACCUGAGAGGGUGAUCGGCCACACUGGGACUGAGACACGGCCCAGACUCCUACGGGAGGCAGCAGUAGGGAAUCUUCCGCAAUGGACGAAAGUCUGACGGAGCAACGCCGCGUGAGUGAUGAAGGUUUUCGGAUCGUAAAGCUCUGUUGUUAGGGAAGAACAAGUGCAAGAGUAACUGCUUGCACCUUGACGGUACCUAACCAGAAAGCCACGGCUAACUACGUGCCAGCAGCCGCGGUAAUACGUAGGUGGCAAGCGUUGUCCGGAAUUAUUGGGCGUAAAGGGCUCGCAGGCGGUUUCUUAAGUCUGAUGUGAAAGCCCCCGGCUCAACCGGGGAGGGUCAUUGGAAACUGGGAAACUUGAGUGCAGAAGAGGAGAGUGGAAUUCCACGUGUAGCGGUGAAAUGCGUAGAGAUGUGGAGGAACACCAGUGGCGAAGGCGACUCUCUGGUCUGUAACUGACGCUGAGGAGCGAAAGCGUGGGGAGCGAACAGGAUUAGAUACCCUGGUAGUCCACGCCGUAACGAUGAGUGCUAAGUGUUAGGGGGUUUCCGCCCCUUAGUGCUGCAGCUAACGCAUUAAGCACUCCGCCUGGGGAGUACGGUCGCAAGACUGAAACUCAAAGGAAUUGACGGGGGCCCGCACAAGCGGUGGAGCAUGUGGUUAAA
rnacentral:rRNA from 1 species